ACGCGGUGACGGAGAUCGUCCCGCGCCGUCCUCCCGAGGCAGUGCCGUACUCCUCGUGAGCACGGACCAGCGGCGGUUGGACCGGAGCCACAAGGCGGCGGAGGAAGGUGAGUCGACACGGGCCCGUCCCGUGUCGACAGCUUACAGCCCCGUCGUACGGCGCUCCGGCCCGACCGAGGAAGAUGGGCAGCCCUUGCCCACCGUGGCACACGCCGAACGGCGGGGCCUCCCGACACGAGUGAACGGUGCGGUGUGGACUGCACGCAGUGCAAACCGUGGCCGUGAUCUCGCGGCGGYGAGCGUCACCCGUGUGCCAGUGCCGCCGGCAUUCAGAC
rnacentral:misc_RNA from 1 species